CACAGAUCUCGAUGUAAAUAUUGGAUAUAAGAACUAUUACAUUUGUCCUUACAUAAAGUUGAGCUUAUGGUAGCUGCACCCUUGGAAAUUCUUGCACCAGAAGAAGACGAUUGAUGGACCAACUCUUAAGCCUUCUUAUCUUCUGUGGCAAAGACAACAAAAACUGACAAAAUAAAAGUUAUCAAAUGACAACACUAAUUUGUUUGUCAUCCAAGGAAUUGCAGAUAAGAGCCAUCGAUAACAAGCAACUUUGAGCAAUCAAAUCUACCAUAGGCAGAAAUUUGGAAGGUAUGAUCAGCUACAUAGUAAUUCAAUGACAACUCGAUACCUCGUGAGAUUCAUUGAUAGCAAGUUAUUUCUACCAUUCAUCACAGUUUGAACAAAAUUUUAAAAUUUAAUCAAUAGCAGACAUUACACUUUUUGCCCAUCAUCCGCCUAGAAGUGUUAAAGGGCACCACAGACAUCUAGUGAAAGUAACCAAGAACUUGACCUCCCACAUUCCGACCAAUUGCUUCUUCAUGGUCCAAUACACCAUCUGGUGUAGUUAUCACGACAUAACCAUACUGACGAGUGGGAAGUAUUCGCAACCUGUAUGCUUCUAUAUCCUUUGCCUUGAUGUCUUGCCUGUAAGUGAGUGCCCGACAAUCUUUUAUCCUGCCUUGUAGUUCAACUGUUAUCCUCCCAACUCUGUGUGGAUCCUGAACUUGAAAAUUUUUUAUAUAUCCUAGAAAUAUUCCACAAAGUCAAAGGCAUUGAAACAUGGCAUGCACAAUAGCAAUAUAAUAAACAUGGAAGUAAAAUGAAAUAAAAUACAUCACAAAAGCAGCAACAUACCAUACCAGCAUUCCAUGUUCAUUUUUUAAAGAAACAUUGUUGUCAAAGGUGCAAAGUGUGCAAAAGCAAAGGGUAAAUGACCACACAAAAAUGCAAGUGCAGCCAAUCUUAUGAGGCAAAUGUUUAUUCAAAAUAUGCAUAAAACAAAUUGAUGAUAUUUUUAUUAUAUUAGUUCUAAUAAUUAAAUAUGAAAACCUAAAUAAUAUUAGAAAAUCAAUAAUAUAAAUAAGAAAAUUACUAUGCUAGUUCAAAAUAAAGCAACAGAAUAAAAGAGUCAAAACCACCCUCUCAGAUGCCUUUGCAAAAAGUAAUUUUCCUACUUUUGAAAUGUUCUGGUUUUCUAUGGCCCAAGCAUCUAAAUGAACUUAAUCAAAACAUUAAAAUGCAGAAGAAGGCAUUUUUUCUCAAUAGCAGCUACAACAUAAAUGCCAUACAAUCUUCAAUCACAAUUCAACAAAACACAAACAUCACAAUACAAUAUUUAUUGAGAAUAAUUCAAGAUAGGCCAUGUGCAAGUACCAGUGCAAAAAUACCGCCGCCACCACCACCAUCAGGCAAAGCACACAAAAUAAACUCAAACAAGCUUAAUCUAACUUUGGCUUUGGCAUGUGUUCAUGUGCUUCUGUAUGAUUGGGACAUUGUAGUGUGUAACUUAGUUAACCUAUUAUGAAGGGGGAAAACCAUUUUUAAUCUCAACAAACAGAAACUAAAAAAAUGACAAACAAUUACAUGUCAAUUGGGAAUAGCAGCAGUAGAAUUAAACAAUAGACAGCCAAUGAGAUAGAAAUUGUUAUUCUGCAAAUAGCAUAGAUUCCCCAACGUAUCUGGCAACAAAGGUCAAAAACAGCAAACAAAUUAGACCAACUGCCUCAGUUGCAACAAAACUAGGGAGAUAAUUCACACUUCGAUCAAGCAGUCUAAUAUUUGCCAUAAAACCAGCCGGAAUGGUGUAAUCCAAGUUGUUGCAAAGAUUGAGAAACACAAGAAAUGUGAAAUUGACAUGCAGAAAGUGAGGAAUGUGACAAAUCCACAAGAAAACAAGUAUAACUCUAGAGGGAAUGAAGCAUGUUUAUUCCAGUUGCUGGCUCAGGUAAGGUACAAAAAUCAGAUAGCUCUAACUAUAACAAUAAACAAAGAGAAAAUACAAAUAGAGAUUUUCCAAGGUUCCCAACAUGAAAGGGAAGAUUUUUGUGAAUGAUGCACUUAAAAAAAAAAAUUCACAAAACCAAUUAAAUAAAACCAAAAGGUCAGCGAUUGAAGGGAAUCUACAUGACUACAUACGCUGAAAACACACAAUUUCCUAAUUCAUAAACAAAAUUCAAGUGCAAACAUAGAAGAAAAGUAAAGGAACUAAAAAAAGAGAGAGAGAGGGAGAG
rnacentral:misc_RNA from 1 species